AUUGAACGCUGGCGGCAGGCCUAACGCAUGCAAGUCGAGCGGUAGAGAGGAGCUUGCUUCUCUUGAGAGCGGCGGACGGGUGAGUAAUGCCUAGGAAUCUGCCUGGUAGUGGGGGAUAACGUUCGGAAACGGACGCUAAUACCGCAUACGUCCUACGGGAGAAAGUGGGGGAUCUUCGGACCUCACGCUAUCAGAUGAGCCUAGGUCGGAUUAGCUAGUUGGUGAGGUAAAGGCUCACCAAGGCGACGAUCCGUAACUGGUCUGACAGGAUGAUCAGUCACACUGGAACUGAGACACGGUCCAGACUCCUACGGGAGGCAGCAGUGGGGAAUAUUGGACAAUGGGCGCAAGCCUGAUCCAGCCAUGCCGCGUGUGUGAAGAAGGUCUUCGGAUUGUAAAGCACUUUAAGUUGGGAGGAAGGUCAGUAGCUUAAUACGUUGCUGAUUUGACGAUACCGACAGAAUAAGCACCGGCUAACUCUGUGCCAGCCGCCGCAGUAAGAC
rnacentral:rRNA from 1 species